CGAGCGAGAAAGCCCGCAAGGGUGAGUAAAGCGGCGCACGGGUGCGUAACACGUGGGUAAUCUUCCUUGGAGCCCGGAAUAACUCCCCGAAAGGGGUGCUAAUGCCGGAUGAGACCACGGGAUCCCCGGAUCCUGAGGGAAAAGGCGGCCUCUGUACACAAGCUGUCACUCCAAGAUGAGCCCGCGGCCCAUCAGCUAGUUGGCGGGGUAAUGGCCCACCAAGGCUACGACGGGUAGCUGGUCUGAGAGGACGAUCAGCCACACUGGAACUGAGACACGGUCCAGACUCCUACGGGAGGCAGCAGUGGGGAAUCUUGCGCAAUGGGCGAAAGCCUGACGCAGCAACGCCGCGUGUGUGAUGAAGGUCUUCGGAUCGUAAAGCACUGUCGGGAGGGACGAAUAAGGCGGCGGCUAACAUCCGCAGCCGAUGACGGUACCUCCAAAGGAAGCACCGGCUAACUCUGUGCCAGCAGCCGCGGUAAUACAGAGGGUGCUAGCGUUGUUCGGAAUUAUUGGGCGUAAAGCGCGUGUAGGCGGCCUUGCAAGUUGGGUGUGAAAGCCCUCGGCUUAACCGAGGAAGUGCGCCCAAAACUACAGGGCUUGAGUACCGGAGAGGGUGGCGGAAUUCCCGGUGUAGAGGUGAAAUUUGUAGAUAUCGGGAGGAACACCAGUGGCGAAGGCGGCCACCUGGACGGAUACUGACGCUGAGACGCGAAAGCGUGGGUAGCAAACAGGAUUAGAUACCCUGGUAGUCCACGCUGUAAACGAUGAGCGCUAGGUGUUGUGGGUGUUGACCCC
rnacentral:rRNA from 1 species